CUAAAGUUCACAUAUGUGCUAGCUGGCUGGGAGGGGUCAGCGCAUGAUGCUAACAUUCUCAGUGACAACAUGAGUCGACCUAAUGGUAUCAACAUCCCCGACGGCAAGUUCUACCUUGGAGAUGCUGGCCAUGCGUGUCGGGCGGGUGUUCUUCCACCCUUCAGGAAAACCAGGUAUCAUCUCAACGAGUUCUCUGGUAGGAAUUAUCUUAGGACUGCAAAUGAGUUGUUUAAUCUCAGACACUCCAGCCUUAGAGUAAUUGUUGAGAGGACAUUUGGAGCUCUGAGGCCAUUCACCCAUACCCCACUCAGGUUAAGCUUGUUCUUACUUGUUGCAUUCUGCAUAACUGGAUCCUCCAGUGGGGCUUCGAUGAACACGUGCCUGAGGAGGAAGAGGUCGAGCCUGACAAUGUUGUUACCUCCGGCCAUGGUGUGGAGGCAUUUGACAAUGACGCUUGAAAGAACAAAAGGUUGGAGUGGGCAGAGGCAAGUGCAGGAUUUGAAGAAGAGGAAGAAGAAGCAGAAGCAGAAGCAGAAGAAGAGGACGAUGAAGAGGAAGAUCUGGUAG
rnacentral:rRNA from 1 species